UGCAGUUCUGCACUCUUGCCCUGCGUGCCUCCGUUCAGCACGUGCAGGCUAUGUGCAGGCAGGAGAGAUUUCUUUUCAUUCAUGGUUGGAUUCAGACAGAACGGGUACAGUUUUAGAGCUACAGGGACCUUCAAGUUCAUCCUGUCCAGUGUUCACUCUGGUCCAAGCUGCUUCAGCCUGUUCGUUUGACAGACAGAGAAACAGAGGCUGUGACCUGCCUGAGGUUAUGUAACUGGUGCGUGGUGGCGCCAAGAUCCACCGGGGGCGCGGGGGCCAUCUGAUCCACACCUUUUCCCACCUUCCUGAUGGAAAGAACAGUUCCCGAGCAGCAAGAGACUUGCCCAGGCUCUCUUCUCCUCUAUGAAAUGGGGUAAUGAUACCCGCCUCAUAGAGCUACUGCGAGAAUUACCGAGACAAUAUCUAUAAAGAUCCCAGCUUGGAGACUGGACCAUGGAUGGAGCUGGAAGUGAAGAAGGACGCCCCUGCCCUCUCAGAGCCAAAGCGAAGGCUUUGAAGGCAAGACGGCAGCGCUGAAAGGCGUCACAGCAACCAAGGAAAGGGAGGUCCAUGUCACCCACCUUCGCAGCCCAGGCAUCCUCGGAGGAGAGCCCCAGGAGCAACAGGCCUGAGCUCUGUGUCCUCACCGAGGUCCCCGGCAGCCGCGAAGCCGCGAAGGAGACAGAACAGCACGUGUGUUCAUUGUCGAUGGUCAACACCAGCGCACACAGCCUGGGAGGCUCUAGGGGACGUCAUGUGGCCCAGGCCACCCCCCGACGGGCCUGAAGGGGAGAGAAGGCACGUGCUCCACGGCUCCAGGCUGUGGGGCUUUGGGUGUUGCCCAAACUGGGAUCAUUUGAACAGGGUCCAGGGGGGCACCCAGCUCUGAGAUCACUGGGGGAUUUUCAGUGAAUCGCCCAAUAACAGCCGCCCAUUGCCGAGGUCCCCAGGCCGUUCCCUGAUGGUCCUGGCUCUGAGCCAGGAAGGGGUCUCCCUACGGGCCUUUUGGACGGAGGGUUACCGGGAAGCAGGACUCUCAGUGCUAGACCCGGGCUAGCCCAGCUUCUGGGUGACCCCGGCUCCUGCUCGCAGGGCCUCGCCCGGAGGAGGACUUCCCUCCAGCUCCGCUCCCCCAGCACGGCCCUCUCUGCCGGCGGUGCUCCCAUGUGAUCACUUAGCUCAUUACUUCAGAAUGAACUGUUUCUGUACCUGUUUGCUGGCCCAGCAGUAAAGCCCCUCAGGAGUGGAGACCCUGCCUCGCUCAUCCUUGUGCCUCCAGGGUCUAGCCCCACGUCUGAACGCCCACCAUCCCUGGACCCCAGACUCAGCAUCCUGUUCUCGGAGUCGCUCCUCCUAGUUACAAAGCACUGUGUACAGGGCCCAG
rnacentral:lncRNA from 1 species